rnacentral:misc_RNA from 1 species
UUUCCGUAGGUGAGCCUGCGGAAGGAUCAUUCAUAAUUAAGUGUUUUAUGGCACUUUUUAAAAAUCCAUAUCCACCUUGUGUGCAAUGUUAGAUCUCGUCAAUCUUGGCGAGAUUUUUAUACAUCAACUCAUUCUUUAACUAAUUUGUCUGAAAAAUAUUAUGAAUACUUAAUUCAGAAUACAACUUUCAACAACGGAUCUCUUGGCUCUC